rnacentral:lncRNA from 1 species
CAGUAAAUGCUGUGGCAUGAAGGACCCUCCUGGAGUGUCUGAGUUCUCAGGCUUCAAGGCCCCUAGAUAAGCAGAUUUCUCUCCCCUAUCACCAUAGUCACCCCAGGGACUGCAGGGCAGGCCGAAAUCAGCCAGUGACUCAGCUCCUUGGGCAAUUCAGCUGGCCCACAGACCACUUCCUCUGCUCCCCAGCGCCGGAUGGAUGCAGAUCUGUGAGUAAGGAGCCAGCUGCAGGCAAGCAGCUCGAGGGCAGGUGGGCAUGAUGUCUGGCUACCACUCGCACUGGACGCCACACACACAGCCAGGGUGGCAGAAGGCCCCACCUGCCAUGUGCCAGUGGGACACCACCCUCAUGGUCUGCGUUUCCAGGUUUCCAACUAAGGACUGAGCACACUCUCAACAUGGACCUCCUAACUGCUCUCGAGGAUGGACAGCUGGCCUCAAGGGAACACUGCAAAGUGGCUCUAGGAAGAAGCCACUGUCCCUCCAGACCAUAAAAAUGGCUACCAAGGGCAGAGCCAGCAGCUUUCGCUGUAAAGUUUCUCAAGAAAAUCACAGAUAUUCCCCUCUGUGAUGUUCAGCUCAGCCUGGAAAGGAGAGGUAGAAACUGAGAGUUGAAGAGGCUGAAUAAUUUCUCAAGCACACUCCCAACUCGACCACCCACAAGCAAAAAGGCAGAGCUGGGAUUCAAACACAGGAAUGACAAAGGAAUGCAUAAAGAACUUCAAAGUUCAACUCCUCGAACUUCAAACUUCAAAUCCCCAACUCCUCCUGCCUAUGC